ensembl:snRNA
GUGUUGCAUGAAAGGAGAGAAGGUUAGCACUCCCCUUGACAAGAACACGUAUACGGUUAAGGAAUUGCCACCUACUUUGUGGCAUCUAACCACUGUUUUGG